ACCUGACAAUGGUCCAACCUCAAUGAAAACAACGAUCAGGGCCGGUCAAGGAUCAGCGACGGAUCAAGUCCACUCUCGCCUCACAAGAUUGUCGACGGGGUAUGCUCAACGCAAAAGGGAGCCAGUGACACAGUCAAGCUAAGAUGAUAUGCUCAAACAACUUAAACAAGCUAAGCGCAAAACAACGGUCCAAGAAACUUUCAACGGGAAGGGAAACUUGUGAAUACGAACAAAUUAACGAUCAUUGAAAGUUGACAUACUUAGCUUCA